rnacentral:rRNA from 1 species
GACGAACGCUGGCGGCGGGCUUAACACAUGCAAGUCGAACGGAAAGGCCCUGCUUUUGUGGGGUGCUCGAGUGGCGAACGGGUGAGUAACACGUGAGUAACCUGCCCUUGACUUUGGGAUAACUUCAGGAAACUGGGGCUAAUACCGGAUAGGAUCUCCUCCUGCAUUGUGGGGGUUGGAACUUUUAGGCGGGUGGGGAUGGACUCGCGGCUUAUCAGCUUGUUGGUUGGGUAGUGGCUUACCAAGGCUUUGACGGGUCGCCGGCCUGAGAGGGUGACCGGCCACAUUGGGACUGAGAUACGGCCCAGACUCCUACGGGAGGCAGCAGUGGGGAAUCUUGCACAGUGGGCGGAAGCCUGAUGAAGCAACGCCGGGUGCGGGAUGACGGCCUUCGGGUUGUAAAAAGCUUUAGCCUGUGACGAAGCGUGAGUGACGGUAAUGGGUAAAGAAGCACCGGCUAACUACGUG